GAUGAAGAACGCAGCGAAAUGCGAUAAGUAAUGUGAAUUGCAGAAUCCAGUGAAUCAUCGAAUCUUUGAACGCACAUUGCGCCCGCCAGCAUUCUGGCGGGCAUGCCUGUUCGAGCGUCAUUUCAACCCUCGACCUCCCUUUGGGGAAGUCGGCGUUGGGGACCGGCAGCACACCGCCGGCCCUGAAAUGGAGUGGCGGCCCGUCCGCGGCGACCUCUGCGUAGUAAACCAACUCGCACCGGAACCCCGACGUGGCCACGCCGUAAAACACCCAACUUCUGAACGUUGACCUCGAAUCAGGUAGGACUACCCGCUGAACUUAAGCAUAUCAAUAACGGAGGA
rnacentral:misc_RNA from 1 species